UUGUUAAGGGAAUAUAAUCCCACAUCGGUAAAAUACCGAAAUAAUGACCAAUAUAUAAAGAAUUGGGACACUCCUCUUAACAAGGUUGACCUUAUUGAGAUGGACCCCAAGUCUUAACAUGGUAUCAGAGCCCAUUAAGCUCCAACGAGCGAUUCGAUCCGAUUAAGUCUCUCAAAAUGAGCACACGGAUUUCAAGAAAAAAACUGAAGUUCUAAAAUCGGAACAUACAGUAUUUGUUAAGGGAAUAUAAUCCCACAUCGGUAAAAUACCGAAAUAAUGACCAAUAUAUAAAGAAUUGGGACACUCCUCUUAACAAGGUUGACCUUAUUAAGAUGGACCCCAAGUCUUGACAUGGUAUCAGAGCCCAUUAAGCUCCAACGAGCGAUUCGAUCCGAUUAAGUCUCUAAAAAUGAGCACACAGAUUUCAAGAUUGGUCUGCUCAAACGAGCCACCAUCUUGCGGGGGCAUGUUAAGGGAAUAUAAUCCCACAUCGGUAAAAUACCGAAAUAAUGACCAAUAUAUAAAG
rnacentral:lncRNA from 1 species